rnacentral:rRNA from 1 species
GAUGAACGCUAGCGGCAGGGCUAACACAUGCAAGUCGAGGGGCAGCACAGAAACAGCAAUGUUUUGGUGGCGACCGGCGGACGGGUGCGUAACGCGUAUGCAACCUACCUUUAACAGGGGGAUAACGGAGAGAAAUUUCCACUAAUACCCCAUAACAUCGAUCAAGGCAUCUUGAUUGGUUGAAAACUCCGGUGGUUAAAGAUGGGCAUGCGUUGUAUUAGGUAGUUGGUGAGGUAAUGGCUCACCAAGCCUACGAUACAUAGGGGGACUGAGCGGUUAGCCCCCCACACUGGUACUGAGACACAGACCAGACUCCUACGGGAGGCAGCAGUGAGGAAUAUUGGUCAAUGGGGGCAACCCUGAACCAGCCAUGCCGCGUGCAGGAAGACGGCUCUAUGAGUUGUAAACUGCUUUUAAACAGGGAUAAAGCACAGUAUGUAUACUGUGUUGAAGGUACUGUAAGAAUAAGGAUCGGCUAACUCCGUGCCAGCCGCCGCGGUAA